GGGCAGUAUCUUAAUGAACUGCACCCAUUUGUUUAAAUGUGCAUGAACCAUAAUUUAAUCUGCCUAGAUCCACAAUUGGACAAGGACAGAGGG
rnacentral:ncRNA from 1 species